rnacentral:rRNA from 1 species
GACGAACGCUGGCGGCGUGCUUAACACAUGCAAGUCGAACGGAAAGGCCCUGCUUUUGUGGGGUGCUCGAGUGGCGAACGGGUGAGUAACACGUGAGUAACCUGCCCUUGACUUUGGGAUAACUUCAGGAAACUGGGGCUAAUACCGGAUAGGAGCUCCUGCUGCAUGGUGGGGGUUGGAAAGUUUCGGCGGUUGGGGAUGGACUCGCGGCUUAUCAGCUUGUUGGUGGGGUAGUGGCUUACCAAGGCUUUGACGGGUAGCCGGCCUGAGAGGGUGACCGGCCACAGUGGGACUGAGAUACGGCCCAGACUCCUACGGGAGGCAGCAGUGGGGAAUAUUGCACAAUGGGCGGAAGCCUGAUGCAGCAACGCCGCGUGCGGGAUGACGGCCUUCGGGCUGUAAACCGCUUUCGCCUGUGACGAAGCGUGAGUGACGGUAAUGUGUAAAGAAGCACCGGCUAACUACGUG